rnacentral:rRNA from 1 species
UACAGAGGGUGCGAGCGUUGUCCGGAAUCACUGGGCGUAAAGGGCGCGUAGGUGGCGGGAUAAGCGUGCGGUGAAAGUCCGGGGCUCAACUCCGGAUCGGCCGUGCGGACUGUCUCGCUUGAGCGUAGUAGAGGCGGGUGGAAUUCCGGGUGUAGCGGUGGAAUGCGUAGAGAUCCGGAAGAACACCGGUGGCGAAGGCGGCCCGCUGGGCUACUGCUGACACUGAUGCGCGACAGCGUGGGGAGCAAAC